UACGGGGGGGGCAAGCGUUGUUCGGAAUUACUGGGCGUAAAGGGCUCGCAGGCGGCCAACUAAGUCAGACGUGAAAUCCCUCGGCUUAACCGGGGAACUGCGUCUGAUACUGGAUGGCUUGAGUUCGGGAGAGGGAUGCGGAAUUCCAGGUGUAGCGGUGAAAUGCGUAGAUAUCUGGAGGAACACCGGUGGCGAAGGCGGCAUCCUGGACCGACACUGACGCUGAGGAGCGAAAGCCAGGGGAGCAAACGGG
rnacentral:rRNA from 1 species